GAUCAUGGCUCAGGAUGAACGCUGGCGGCGUGCCUAACACAGGCAAGUCGAACGAAGCACCUUACCUGAUUCUUCGGAUGAAGGUCUGGUGACUGAGUGGCGGACGGGUGAGUAACGCGUGGGUAACCUGCCCUGUACAGGGGGAUAACAGUUGGAAACGGCUGCUAAUACCGCAUAAGCGCACGAGAGGACAUCCUCUUGUGUGAAAAACUCCGGUGGUACAGGAUGGG
rnacentral:rRNA from 1 species